rnacentral:rRNA from 1 species
UACGUAGGGUGCAAGCGUUGUCCGGAAUUAUUGGGCGUAAAGAGCUCGUAGGCGGUUUGUCGCGUCGGCUGUGAAAACCUAGGGCUCAACCCUGGGCCUGCAGCCGAUACGGGCAAACUAGAAUUCGGUAGGGGAGACUGGAAUUCCUGGUGUAGCGGUGAAAUGCGCAGAUAUCAGGAGGAACACCGGUGGCGAAGGCGGGUCUCUGGGCCGAUAUUGACGCUGAGGAGCGAAAGCGUGGGGAGCGAACAGG